CAGGAAGUUGGCUUAGAAGCAGCCAUCCUUCAAAGAAAGCGUAAUAGCUCACUGGUCGAGUCCUUCUGCGCGGAAGAUGUAACGGGGCUAAGCUGUUAACCGAAGCCGCGGAUGCGCUGGUUAUCCAGUGCGUGGUAGGGGAGCGUUCUGUAAGUCUGCGAAGGCGGUUCGAGAGGACUGCUGGAGAUAUCAGAAGUGCGAAUGCUGACAUGAGUAACGUUAAAGCAGGUGAAAAGCCUGCUCGCCGUAAGCCCAAGGAUUCCUGCUCUACGUUCAUCGGAGCAGGGUGAGUCGGCUCCUAAGGUCAGGCCGAAAGGCGUAGCCGAUGGGAAUCAGGUUAAUAUUCCUGAACCUGCGUCAGAUGCGAUGGGGGGACGGAGCAUGGAAGAUCAUCCGGGUGUUGGAAGUCCCGGUUGUUGAGCGUAGGAGGUCUGCAGGCAAAUCCGCAGACGCAUCUCCAAGGCAAAGACACGUGCCGCCACGGCGGCGAAGUGAUCGGAAGUGCUUCCAAGAAAAGCCUCUAAGCCCCAGUCUGAUGCGGACCGUACCGCAAACCGACACUGGUGGGCGAGCUGAAUAUGCUCAGGCGCUUGAGAGAACUCGGGAGAAGGAACUCGGCAAAUUGACACCGUAACUUCGGAAGAAGGUGUGCCGUAGUACCGUGAGAGGAGAGACACCUUGAGCGGGAAACGGUCUCAGAGAAUAGGUGGCUGCGACUGUUUAUUAAAAACACAGCACUCUGCAAAGUCGAAAGACGACGUAUAGGGUGUGAUGCCUGCCCGGUGCUGGAAGAUUAAUUGAUGGGGUGAGAGCCCUUGAUCGAAGUCCCAGUAAACGGCGGCCGUAACUAUAACGGUCCUAAGGUAGCGAAAUUCCUUGUCGGGUAAGUUCCGACCUGCACGAAUGGCAUAACGAUGGCCACACUGUCUCCUCCCGAGACUCAGUGAAGUUGAAAUGUUUGUGAUGAUGCAAUCUACCCGCGGCUAGACGGAAAGACCCCAUGAACCUUUACUGCAGCUUUGCAUUGAACUGUGAACCGAUUUGUGUAGGAUAGGUGGGAGGCAGAGAAGAGGCCACGCCAGUGGUCUUGGAGCCGACCUUGAAAUACCACCCUGAUUUGUUUGCGGUUCUAACCACGGACAGUGAUCCUGUCUUGGGACCGUGCAUGGUAGGCAGUUUGACUGGGGCGGUCUCCUCCUAAAGGGUAACGGAGGAGU
rnacentral:rRNA from 1 species